rnacentral:rRNA from 1 species
CCUACGGGAGGCUGCAGUGAGGAAUAUUGGUCAAUGGGCGGAAGCCUGAACCAGCCAAGUCGCGUGAGGGAUUAAGGCCCUGCGGGUCGUAAACCUCUUUUGCCGGGGAGCAGUGGUCCGGACGAGUCCGGGCCGGGAGAGUACCCGGAGAAAAAGCAUCGGCUAACUCCGUGCCAGCAGCCGCGGUAACACGGAGGAUGCGAGCGUUAUCCGGAUUUAUUGGGUUUAAAGGGUGCGUAGGCGGGCAUUUAAGCCGGCGGUCAAAUGUCGGGGCUCAACCCCGGCCUGCCGUCGGAACUGGGUGCCUUGAGUGGGCGAGAAGGAUGCGGAAUGCGUGGUGUAGCGGUGAAAUGCAUAGAUAUCACGCAGAACCCCGAUUGCGAAGGCAGCAUACCGGCGCCCGACUGACGCUGAGGCACGAAAGUGCGGGUAUCGAACAGGAUUAGAUACCCGGGUAGUC